CCAUUGUGGGCCAAGGGAUCCUCUGCCUGGCAUCCCUGGGUAUUUUAGCUGUUUGAGGGUCUUGCCUCGGGCUCUGAGCUGACUGCAAAAAUGGUGGUGGAGAAGAAUUGCUCUUCAGGCAAAGUGAGAGGUGUUGAUACAUGAAACAUCCCCUGAUCAGCAGGGAAGCUGACAAGGAAGCUUCUGAAGACAGUCUAACUACUAGCAGAUAUGAGAGCCUCAAAGUGUGAUGGGUGAAAGCAGUGGUAAUGCCCUGUGGCCACAGGGUAUCAGGGAGAGAGUAUGGGCUUGAGAAAAGGCCACAGACUGUACAGAACAAAAAAUGCUAAGGAUACAAGGUAUAGUCUCUUGUAUGCAAGAGAUGGUAUCUUCUAGCAAAGCUGGUGAGUGUGAUCUGGAAAGGAGCAACAGAGAUGAGACUAAGGGAACAGAGAGAAUAAGCAUAGAGAAAUUUAACUCAUGAUGGGUGAAACAGGGAGGCAGGCAUGACAGACAGGAGGGCAGGAUUAUAUGUCUUGAGAAGACCAGUUCAAAAGUACCAGGAAUGAUGGUUUUGUGUCCGAACCUGGGGCUCUGAGGGAGGUACUGAGAUGAUCAUCUUUUGAGAAGGAUUAAGGUAACUGGUUUCUUGGAUGAUUUUUCUAUAGAGGCAGCACAGGUACAGCUGGAGGUUAGCACUGCACGGGGCAAAAGCAGGAAAGGAUACCCUAACUUCUGCUCCUUGCUACUCCUUAGGCUAAACACUUCUCUCAGCUGAGAUUGGUCCAUACAACACAAGAAGGAGAUGCUCCAUUUUACACAUUUUUGUUUUGAAGUUUUACUCCUGAUCUGAGAUAGAAGAUCUUAUAGCUGAUAAUUGAACACUUCUUAAGCAAAAGGUGAAAAAUCUCAUGCUAUUUCAUGUCUUGGCAGUUAUUUGAUUAGCUAUAGUCUGUCAUCUCUACCUUUCUUCUCAUCAUGCCAAUUAAAAGGGAAACAUAAAUAAAAUUUAGAAGUGUUUAACAUUAAAUGGAUGAAAAGAAUGCUUCUCAACACAGCUGGGCUAAGCUGCAGAACACCUUGCUAGGGAAUGACAUUAAAGGCCAAUUUCAAAACAGAGCAGGAGCUUUGAAAGAUAAUGAUUACAUUCUCAUUUACAAACCCAUAAACCCAAACUUCAGGGUAUAAACUGAGUAAGACACAGAAGCUUAGAGAAAGAACUCAGUCUGAGAUCAGACUAAGCACAGCAAUCCAGGAAAUAGCUGGCUUUGCAUUUUCAAAAUAUAUAAUGAAUAUAUUUGUAUUUUGAAGCAGAUCAUCAAGGGCUGAAAAAAUGUCCUUUCACCUGGAAUCAUAAUGAAAAUAAAUAUGAAAGAAUUCUUAAUAAGUCUGAUAAUCUCCACAGCUUCCACCUCAGAACACCCAAGCUCAAAAGUAAGCAGCUCAGAAUCUUUAGACAUGUUUCAGAAUUUGGAAAUGCUGCUUUAGGGAACAUUCAUUUCAAAGCAGCUUUGUUCAGAAGUGGUAAUAUUUGUGACCUUUUAUUUCCAACCUUAUUUCUGAUUUAUUUUUUUUUUCUGGGACCACUGCAUGUCAGAAGUGUCCACAAGAAAGCACCAAAAAAAUGGUGAUGCAAACUGCAGCUCACAAAGUAUCUUUGCUGGCUACAAGAUGCUUGGAGAUAUUCUCACACAGUGAUGCCACUAUUUCUUCCACUCUUUCACCAAACACCAGCUGCUGGCUAUGGCUGGAAGAGGACAGCAAGCUAGACUAUGAUGGCCUUACAUCAUGUCAUGCUUGAGAUUUUUGUAAGUGUGCCACCUUUUGAGCUAGAAAACCUAUAAAUGCUUAUCAACAGUGUUGAGUAAAAGCUCUGAUGAUUUGAAA